rnacentral:rRNA from 1 species
AGGACAAACGCUGGCGGCGUGCUUAACACAUGCAAGUCGAACGGUUCACCUUCGGGUGGAUAGCGGCGGACGGGUGAGUAACACGUAGUUGACCUGCCCCCUUGUGGGGAAUAACUCCUCGAAAGAGGAGCUAAUACCGCAUAAGUUCUUCUAUACAGGUAGAAGAGGAAAGCUCGUAAGAGCGCGAGGGGAGGGGACUGCGGCGGAUUAGCUAGAUGGUGGGGUAAUGGCCUACCAUGGCGACGAUCCGUAGCUGGUCUGAGAGGACGACCAGCCACACUGGGACUGAGACACGGCCCAGACUCCUACGGGAGGCAGCAGUGAGGAAUAUUCCACAAUGGGCGAAAGCCUGAUGGAGCGACGCCGCGUGAAGGAUAAGCCUUGGGUGUAAACUUCUUUUUGGGGAUGAACGUGGGGUAACCCACGUAAGACAGUACCCAAGAAUAAGCAUCGGCUAACUACGUGCCAGCAGCCGC